GGAAGGCAGCAGGCGCGCAAAUUACCCACUCCCAGAACGGGGAGGUAGUGACGAAAAAUAACAAUACGGGACUCUUUUGAGACCCCGUAAUUGGAAUGAGUACACUCUAAAUCCUUUAACGAGGAUCCAUUGGAGAGCAAGUCUGGUGCCAGCAGUCGCGGUAAUUCCAGCUCCAAUAGCGUAUAUUAAAGUUGUUGCGGUUAAAAAGCUCGUAGUUGGAUCUCAGCUCCGGCCGGACGGUCCGCCUACCGGUGGUUACUGUUCGCUGCCGAGCGUUCAGGGGGCUUCKUCCUAUGAUCUUCACSGGUUGUCGGUCGGGGCCCCCACGUUUACUUUGAAAAAAUUAGAGUGCUCAAAGCAGGCGCGACGCCUGAAUAAUUGUGCAUGGAAUAAUGGAAUAGGACCUCGGUUCUAUUUUGUUGGUUUUCGGAACACGAGGUAAUGAUUAAGAGGGACAGACGGGGGCAUUCGUAUUGCGACGCUAGAGGUGAAAUUCUUGGACCGUCGCAAGACGAACUACUGCGAAAGCAUUUGCCAAGAAUGUUUCCAUUAAUCAAGAACGAAAGUUAGAGGUUCGAAGGCGAUCAGAUACCGCCCUAGUUCUAACCAUAAACGAUGCCAGCCAGCGAUCCGGCUGUGUUCUCAAUGACACGCCGGGCAGCUUCCGGGAAACCAAAGCUUUUGGGUUCC
rnacentral:rRNA from 1 species